AGUAAGGUCAGCUAAUCAAGCUAUCGGGCCCAUACCCCGAAAAUGUUGGUACAUACCCCU
rnacentral:tRNA from 1 species